rnacentral:rRNA from 1 species
GACGAACGCUGGCGGCGUGCUUAACACAUGCAAGUCGAACGGAAAGGCCCUGCUUUUGUGGGGUGCUCGAGUGGCGAACGGGUGAGUAACACGUGAGUAACCUGCCCUUGACUUUGGGAUAACUUCAGGAAACUGGGGCUAAUACCGGAUAGGAGCUCCUGCUGCAUGGUGGGGGUUGGAAAGUUUCGGCGGUUGGGGAUGGACUCGCGGCUUAUCAGCUUGUUGGUGGGGUAGUGGCUUACCAAGGCUUUGACGGGUAGCCGGCCUGAGAGGGUGACCGGACACAUUGGGACUGAGAUACGGCCCAGACUCCUACGGGAGGCAGCAGUGGGGAAUAUUGCACAAUGGGCGGAAGCCUGAUGCAGCAACGCCGCGUGCGGGAUGACGGCCUUCGGGUUGUAAACCGCUUUCGCCUGUGACGAAGCGUGAGUGACGGUAAUGGGUAAAGAAGCACCGGCUAACUACGUG